CCUACGGGAGGCAGCAGUGGGGAAUAUUGCACAAUGGGGGAAACCCUGAUGCAGCGACGCCGCGUGAGUGAAGAAGUACUUCGUUAUGUAAAGCUCUAUCAGCAGGGAAGAAAAUGACGGUACCGGAGUAAGAAGCCACGGCUAACUACGUGCCAGCAGCCGCGGUAAUACGUAGGGGGCAAGCGUUAUCCGGAUUUACAGGGUGAAAAGGGAGCGUAGACGGCAGUGCAAGUCUGGAGUGAAAGGCGGGGGCUCAACCCCCGGACUGCUCUGGAGACUGGACGGCGGGAGUGCGGGAGAGGUAAGUGGAAUUCCUAGUGUAGCGGUGAAAUGCGUAGAUAUUAGGAGGAACACCAGUGGCGAAGGCGGCUUACUGGACUGUAACUGACGUUGAGGCUCGAAAGCGUGGGGAGCAAACAGGAUUAGAUACCCCUGUAGUC
rnacentral:rRNA from 1 species